AACGAACGCUGGCGGCAGGCCUAACACAUGCAAGUCGAGCGCCUCGCAAGGGGAGCGGCGGACGGGUGAGUAACGCGUGGGAACGUGCCCUCUUCUACGGAAUAGCCUCGGGAAACUGGGAGUAAUACCGUAUACGCCCUUAGGGGGAAAGAUUUAUCGGAGGAGGAUCGGCCCGCGUUGGAUUAGGUAGUUGGUGGGGGUAAUGGCCUACCAAGCCGACGAUCCAUAGCUGGUUUGAGAGGAUGAUCAGCCACACUGGGACUGAGACACGGCCCAGACUCCUACGGGAGGCAGCAGUGGGGAAUCUUAGACAAUGGGCGCAAGGCCUGAUCUAGCCAUGCCGCGUGAGCGAUGAAGGCCUUAGGGUUNUAAAGCUCUUUCAGGGGGGAANAGUAAUGACUGUACCCCCAGAAGAAGCCCGNUAACUCCGUG
rnacentral:rRNA from 1 species